CAGCAGCCGCGGUAAUACGGAGGGGGCUAGCGUUGUUCGGAAUUACUGGGCGUAAAGCGCACGUAGGCGGCUUGGUAAGUUAGAGGUGAAAGCCCGGAGCUCAACUCCGGAAUUGCCUUUAAGACUGCCGAGCUAGUAGGUGAGAGAGGUAAGUGGAAUUCCGAGUGUAGAGGUGAAAUUCGUAAAUAUUCGGAAGAACACCAGUGGCGAAGGCGGCUUACUGGCUCAUUCUAGACGCUGAGGUGCGAAAGCGUGGGGAGCAAACAGGAUUAGAGACCCCUGUAGUCCCUGUCUCUUAUAC
rnacentral:rRNA from 1 species